CGUAACAAGGUCUCCGUAGGUGAACCUGCGGAGGGAUCAUUACACAAAUAUGAAGGCGGGCUGGAACCUCUCGGGGUUACAGCCUUGCUGAAUUAUUCACCCUUGUCUUUUGCGUACUUCUUGUUUCCUUGGUGGGUUCGCCCACCACUAGGACAAACAUAAACCUUUUGUAAUUGCAAUCAGCGUCAGUAACAAAUUAAUAAUUACAACUUUCAACAACGGAUCUCUUGGUUCUGGCAUCGAUGAAGAACGCGGCGAAAUGCGAUAAGUAGUGUGAAUUGCAGAAUUCAGUGAAUCAUCGAAUCUUUGAACGCACAUUGCGCCCUUUGGUAUUCCAAAGGGCAUGCCUGUUCGAGCGUCAUUUGUACCCUCAAGCUUUGCUUGGUGUUGGGCGUCUUGUCUCUAGCUUUGCUGGAGACUCGCCUUAAAGUAAUUGGCAGCCGGCCUACUGGUUUCGGAGCGCAGCACAAGUCGCACUCUCUAUCAGCAAAGGUCUAGCAUCCAUUAAGCCUUUUUUUCAACUUUUAACCUCGGAUCAGGUAGGGAUACCCGCUGAACUUAAGCAUAUCA
rnacentral:rRNA from 1 species